rnacentral:misc_RNA from 1 species
GAUAAGAACGUAGCGAAAUGCGAUACUUGGUGUGAAUUGCAGAAUCCCGUGAACCAUCGAGUCUUUGAACGCAAGUUGCGCCCGAAGCCAUGUGGUUGAGGGCACGUCUGCCUGGGCGUCACAUAUCGUUGCCCGAUGCCUAUUGCACUGUGAUAGGAAAUUCUAGGGCGAAAGAUGGCUUCCCGUGAGCGUUGUUGCCUCGCGGUUGGUUGAAAAUUGAGUCCUUGGUAGGGUGUGCCAUGAUCGAUGGUGGUCGCGUUUGCACGAGACCGAUCAUGUGUGCGCUCCCCAAAAUAUGGACUCUUUGACCCCACACGCGUCUUUUGACGCUCAUGACGAGACCUCAGGUCAGGCGGGGCUACCCGCUGAGUUUAAGCAUAUCAAUAAGCGGAGGA